GUUAGUGGCGAACGGGUGAGUAAUGCAUAGGAAAUGUGCCUCGGGCUCAGGGAUAGCCCGUCGAAAGACGGGGUAAUACCCGAUGACAUCGACGCAUCGCAUGGUGUGUCGAUCAAAGCUCCGGCGGCUCGAGAGCAGCCUAUGCCCUAUCAGCUAGUUGGUGAGGUAACGGCCCACCAAGGCGACGACGGGUAGCGGGCGUGAGAGCGUGACCCGCCACAUCGGGACUGAGACACUGCCCGGACACCUACGGGUGGCUGCAGCAACGAAUAUUCCGCAAUGGGCGAAAGCCUGACGGAGCGACGCCGCGUGUGGGAUGAAGUUCUUCGGGAUGUAAACCACUGUCAGGGGCUCGAAAGAUCUGAUCGGCCCCAGAGGAAGCCUCGACUAACUCCGUGCCAGCAGUCGCGGUAAUACGGAGGAGGCUAGCGUUGUUCGGAAUUACUGGGCUUAAAGCGCGUGUAGGCGGGCGAGCAAGUGUCUUGUGAAAGCCCCCGGCUCAACCGGGGAACUGCUGGGCAAACUGCUCGUCUUGAGGCAGGUAGGGGUGCAUGGAACUCUAGGUGGAGCGGUGAAAUGCGUAGAUAUCUAGAGGAACGCCGGUGGCGAAAGCGGUGCACUGGGCCUGUUCUGACGCUGAGACGCGAAAGCGUAGGGAGCAAACGGGAUUAGAUACCCCGGUAGUCUACGCCGUAAACGAUGCGCACUAGCUCGAGAAACUCUGACGUUCUUCGGGCGAAAGAAAACCGUUAAGUG
rnacentral:rRNA from 1 species